rnacentral:rRNA from 1 species
GAUGAACGCUAGCUACAGGCUUAACACAUGCAAGUCGAGGGGCAGCAGGACGAUAGCUUGCUAUUGUUGCUGGCGACCGGCGCACGGGUGAGUAACACGUAUGCAACCUGCCCCCUACAGGGGAAUAACCCAGAGAAAUUUGGCCUAAUACCCCGUAGUCCGCCGCGCCGCAUGACGUGGCGGGGAAAGAGUUAUCGGUAGGGGAUGGGCAUGCGGCGCAUUAGCUAGUUGGCGGGGCAACGGCCCACCAAGGCUACGAUGCGUAGGGGUUCUGAGAGGAAGGUCCCCCACACUGGUACUGAGACACGGACCAGACUCC